rnacentral:rRNA from 1 species
GACAGAGGGUGCAAACGUUGCUCGGAAUCACUGGGCGUAAAGGGCGUGUAGGCGGGCAUGCAAGUCAGGCGUGAAAUCCCUGGGCUCAACCCAGGAAUUGCACUUGAAACUGCAUGUCUUGAGUAUCGGAGAGGAAAGCGGAAUUCCUGGUGUAGAGGUGAAAUUCGUAGAUAUCAGGAGGAACACCGGUGGCGAAGGCGGCAUCCUGGACCGGUAUUGACACUGAGGCGCGAAAGCCAGGGGAGCAAACGGG